GAAAACUAUAUUUGAAAUCAUAUUCAACAUCAUAAAAUCAGAAGCAUUAAUAAUAAUAUUGUACUUUUAUCAUCAAUAAUAUUUCAUUUGUCGUCAUUGGUAGAAUUUGAUGGAAGGCCAAACAUAAAAGUAGAAUCAGAAGCAUAUCUCAUUUCCCUACAUUUCAUUUGAUACAGAUGACUUUUAUUAGUCGUUAACCGAAAAGAAUAUAUUGUACAUGAAAAAGGCUAUAAAAUAUCAUUUAAAAUUUAAAUAGUUGAUUACCUUUUAAGAAUUGCAGCAAAUUCUUCGUACACCCCUUUAUCGAUAAUUUUUUGUCGUUCGAAAAACUACAAAUUAAUUGCAAAAUGUUAUCUGAAAAUAUAAUUUAUGGAA
rnacentral:lncRNA from 1 species